GUUGUGUUACUUCUGUAGACUUACAAACCUCCACAAUGAUCUUCUUACUAGGAAUAUUGGUCGUGGACCUUUCAGGUAAAACCCAUGGGAAUACAAUCACUCCAAACAAUGUUGAACUCAAAAUGGUGGAGGGAGAUGAUUUAACCCUCUCCUGUAACUACAGCUCUGGAGACUUUCUACAGUGGUAUCGACAGUACCCAAGAUCAGCACCCCAGUUUCUCUUGUUUAUCACCAGUCCUGAUACGCCAGGGACAUCAGAGGAGGAUACUCGAUUGUCUGGGAGAAUGAAUAAGGAGAGAAAUCAAGUGUUCCUGGACAUCUCAUCUGCUAAACUCACAGACUCUGCUCUCUACUACUGUGCCAUGAGGCCCACAGUGAAGGAAACAGGAAAGCUGUCAAACAAAAACUCACAUGACAUGAGAUAGCAUGCAUUACACCUUCACCAUACUUUAUUCUCCAAAAAAGUUGGACAAUUUUUAAACAUAUAGAGAUUAGUUAUUGAAUGAAUACAUGUUCAUAAUGUGUAUACCUGUUUAUUAUAUACAUACUGUAGGCUACUAUUUUAA